AUUGAACGCUGGCGGCAUGCCUUACACAUGCAAGUCGAACGGCAGCACGGGUGCUUGCACCUGGUGGCGAGUGGCGAACGGGUGAGUAAUACAUCGGAACAUGUCCUGUAGUGGGGGAUAGCCCGGCGAAAGCCGGAUUAAUACCGCAUACGAUCUACGGGUGAAAGCGGGGGACCUUCGGGCCUCGCGCUAUAGGGUUGGCCGAUGGCUGAUUAGCUAGUUGGUGGGGUAAAGGCCUACCAAGGCGACGAUCAGUAGCUGGUCUGAGAGGACGACCAGCCACACUGGGACUGAGACACGGCCCAGACUCCUACGGGAGGCAGCAGUGGGGAAUUUUGGACAAUGGGCGAAAGCCUGAUCCAGCAAUGCCGCGUGUGUGAAGAAGGCCUUCGGGUUGUAAAGCACUUUUGUCCGGAAAGAAAUCCUUGGCCCUAAUACGGUCGGGGGAUGACGGUACCGGAAGAAUAAGCACCGGCUAACUACGUG
rnacentral:rRNA from 1 species